UAUGUUAAUUAAAGUAGCAAAGUACUUACACACUGUAAAUGGCAUAAAAUCAAGUGAUAGUGUAGCUUAACAAUAUAGUGAUGGGUAUAGAUAAUGUUGCAUCGGAACCUUUGUGGAUAUUUAAAUGUUAGUAAUCUGGGUAGAAAUGAUCACAUUUUACUUUAGUUAGUUUAAAGGUUUAAGUAAUGUUUUAAAUAUUGUAUUGGAUGUAUAGCUACUUUUAGUUGCUCCCUUGUGACAAAGGCUCGCUCCGCGUGUUUAAUUCGGGAGCUUUUUACACUGGAUGCUCUUCCUGUGGGCAGUUGUGUCUCUGACUGGGAUCAAACCAGUGACCCUUUGGUUAAAUGUGGUAACCAGUACGCUGUUGAUGAAGGAAAAUGGAAAUAACUGAGACAGUCCCUGAAUAAUUAAAUGUUGUUGAUCUAUUGCUGAACUUUAGAUAUUUUAAAUGGUGUUUAAAUGGCCAUUACAAAUCAGUUUAAGCUGAAAGUGCUGUAGUGUGUCUUAUGGUCGUUGUUACAUACCCAUCUUUGUACAAAUAAAUGGAAACAUUCUUAAUAAAAACAUUUGACUUAAAUUAACAUAUUCAGUAGCUGUUGUGAGAUGAACUGGCAUUUAUAGUACAUCUGUUCCAACACAGUGAAGUCACAUGCAAUUUAGAUAGUCAUCAUAAGACGUUUUAUCAAAAGCUUUUGUAAUUCUUUUCAGUACUGUCAGUAUGGCAACUGUGUCUACACUUGGAUUUGAAGUUUAUAGAGGUUAAAGUGCACUUGGGGUCAGGGGUCUGUAGCAUUUGGCACUUCCAGUAGACUGACAUUUUGUCAUCAUCAUCAUCACUGAGUCACAACAUCUUCUCCUUCACCCUCACACUUGAACUCCACUCUGUUCCCUUUCAUACAUCAUAUAUACUUAGUCUGCUACAAUCCAGGAGGCGUAAAGCAGGAUAAAGUUAAAAGUUUGACCCAUUGUGUAAACUAACUUGACCUAUGAAUGAUCAACAGCUUAUUGCACUCCACCUCACACCCUGUGACCCACCGGAGGAUGCCAACAACCAGGAGGCAACGAUCAUGGAGGCACGGGAGGUGAAGACCACGCAGGUGGAGGAAGUGAGGAAUGUGAUGGAGAAGAUUGAGCUCAACAAGGGACAGGAUGACCCACUGAGCACUUCAGAGGAGCAAGUGGAGCACGCAGGCAACAAGACCAGCAAAGUCCCAGAGGCAUCAAGAUCCAGACCUAAGAAGAAAAGGCCACUAGUGAGUAUGCUUUUGCUAAUGCUUUUAAUCACCACAGCUCAUUUCAUUCAGUACAAAUACCUGUAG
rnacentral:lncRNA from 1 species